CUCCUAUUGCUGCGCUGCUUAAAGCUUUGGAGUUUCUUUGCCCAAUCUUGUACAUGCAAGCUGAGAUUAGUUGCAUGUGCUGCUGUCCAAGCUGGUUCCUACUGCUGCUGGUGCUGUACCUACUAUUGUACCUGCAUUGACUUUUGAUGCAUAAAUGUCUUACUGUGACGGUAAAGCAACAGAGUUUCCUGACACUUUCUCCCUUCGGUGCCACGUAAUGACAUUUCCGCAAUAGUGCAUGUCAUGUGCAUAUACAGGCCAGCAUGUCCUCGCAGGGGGGGGGGGUUGAUAUACAUUGUUGUUGCUUUUACUUAACAGCUCAAGCUUUUAGGAUGAGCGGUUGUAACAAUUAAAACUAUGACUAGUAUGUUCCUUAGUAAGGAAGAAAAGAAGCAACUGCUGUGCUGAAGGUAUCUGAUAGAAAGUUCUCUUGUGAUGAAACAUAGUAGGAAAUUAUGAAAUGCUCUUCCCACAAUCAAAAGAAGAAAUUCAUGCAUCAGUAUUUCCACAGAAAUUCAGGCAAAAUAUAAUCCUCUGAGAAAUUUCAAGGAA